AUUGAACGCUGGCGGCAUGCCUUACACAUGCAAGUCGAACGGCAGCGGGGGAGAAGCUUGCUUUUCCUGCCAGCGAGUGGCGAACGGGUGAGUAAAGUAUCGGAACGUGCCCAGUCGUGGGGGAUAACGUAGCGAAAGUUACGCUAAUACCGCAUACGAUCUAUGGAUGAAAGCGGGGGAUCGCAAGACCUCGCGCGAUUGGAGCGGCCGAUAUCAGAUUAGGUAGUUGGUGGGGUAAAGGCUCACCAAGCCGACGAUCUGUAGCUGGUCUGAGAGGACGACCAGCCACACUGGGACUGAGACACGGCCCAGACUCCUACGGGAGGCAGCAGUGGGGAAUUUUGGACAAUGGGCGCAAGCCUGAUCCAGCCAUGCCGCGUGCAGGAUGAAGGCCUUCGGGUUGUAAACUGCUUUUGUACGGAACGAAAAGGUUUGGCUUAAUACGUUGAACUCAUGACGGUACCGUAAGAAUAAGCACCGGCUAACUACGUGCCAGCCGCCGCAGUAA
rnacentral:rRNA from 1 species